UAAACUCACAUUUCUGCUUAAAAAGCUUAUUUUCAAGAACUAUGUUAUAGCUGUCCAGUAUGAUAGAAUUUACCUUCCAAAAAUGUGUUCUGUAUCUAGGCAAUCCUCAAAAUUAUGUGCUUCACCUCCAUUCUUAGUGCUUUUGAUAUCUCUUGUAAUUGUUUCUGAUGGUAGAAUGUACAAUGAUUGAAGUUAGAGAAGCCGCAGUCUGAGGAGAGUAUUUCUAUAAUAACAUCUCACUGUUGUGCUUUGUGAACGUUUCAUCAUGUCCUACUUCUAUUCAUCAUUGUCGUGACUAACUAUGUACUCAAGGAAAUAGUAUUUCUAGUUCUCAUAGAUGAUGUAGAUGUAUGGAUGAAUCUUUUAUGUUGAUAUUACCAUUUUUACCUAGUCGUUUUAUUUAUGGUUGAAGAAUAGCUUGAUAUUACCUUUAAUGGGCAUGCAAUGUUAAAUGAUGAGUCAAAUUUGUGUAACUUGAAAUUUGUACAGCAUUAACUGUGGAACUUUAUCAAUUAAGUGAUCCUGUUUAAUGUUAUUUAACAGGUCUUGCGCCAAUUCACUCAAUAUGUCUAUUUAAGUACUAAAUAGAAUAUCAAGCAGGCUCUUAGUAGACUAGUUACUAUAGCCACACAGCAUCUUUUUCUUGUCUGACAGUUCAGAUGUUGCAGCACUGACACAAUUUACAGCUACUCUGCUUCCACUUGAGGCGUCACUUAAGAAAUAUGCUCCAUUAGUUCUUAAUUCAAUCUUGACAAAUUUGGUUAUGACUUAUGAUUAUGUUGAUAUUUCCUGAUAAUAUUCUUAUCUCGGCACAACUCAUGCAUAUCAUGCUCGUGUAUUUGGUGAUGGUGUACUAUUACCUUAUGAGGGUGAAUAACUUGUUUAUCUGGGGAACUCUUGCUAUGUUUGUUUAUGCUCAGCGUUCCUGUCUCCAUCUCUCUUUCUAUAUAUUAAUUUCUUUAUCAACUUAUGGAGUUCAUUUCAAGUUUUGACAGCUCUUAUAAUUUUGAAACAAUCAUCUCACUUUCCAAUGUGUUUUACUUCUCACUUUCAGUUCCCAACAUCUAAUAGAUACUAUGUCAGAGUACUAUGCUAAAGUUUCUAAAUAUAUGUAUGAUUUAAGUAAGGGACCUCAAGUCACAGCCUCACAGGUAAUAAUGCAAAACUGAGGGAAAUACUGCAAAGGAGAUGUCUCAUGUUCUUCAGCAGAUAUGUAACCAUUACCCUAAGGUUCAGCCUGAUAUCAUCCUUUUAGUCUUCAAUCCCAGUUAUGGCAGCCAAUGACGGAGUAAAAACCAGUUAUGGCAGCCAAUGACGUAGUAAAAACCAGUUAUGGCAGCCAAUGACGUCAACCACACACACAAUGUUGAAGCACGCGUUGAACCGGGAGAACUAUCCCAGCGAGAUGACUCAAUCAGCCAGACCUGCAACGAAGGGAAUGAGACUACCCUGGUUCGUGAAGGGAAUAUUCUAAGUGAGGAAGCACUACGGAGUGUUUUGGAGGCAAUAAUGUGAAGAAAACGCCAAAUCAAGAAGUACCCGAGCACAAAGAAGCAAAACUGGAGUAAGUAAAAAUCCACCGCGACCGCGGUGGAACCGCGCUGGAUCAAAUACUCGCGGCAGAAUGUUUAGCGUUCACCGCGGUCGAGCCGCGGUCUUGCCGCGACCGCGGUGCACUGUUCACUCGCCAGGAAUUUGGGGACCAAAGUGUAAAUUCGGGAAAACUUGUGCCAAACCCUUAUAAACUUUAGGAACUCGCCCAAGAUUGUUUUUAAGCUUGUUUUUAGACUACUUUGGAGGCUAGAACAAGUGUGACAAGAGUAACAAAACAUUAGAAUUCUUCUAUCUUCUUUUGAUUAUUUCUAUUACCCAUUAUGAAUA